AUUGAACGCUGGCGGCAUGCUUUACACAUGCAAGUCGAACGGCAGCGCGGGCUUCGGCCUGGCGGCGAGUGGCGAACGGGUGAGUAAUGCAUCGGAACGUGCCCAGUAGUGGGGGAUAGCCCGGCGAAAGCCGGAUUAAUACCGCAUACGACCUGAGGGUGAAAGCGGGGGACCGAAAGGCCUCGCGCUAUUGGAGCGGCCGAUCUCGGAUUAGCUAGUUGGUGGGGUAAAGGCUUACCAAGGCGACGAUCCGUAGCUGGUCUGAGAGGACGACCAGCCACACUGGGACUGAGACACGGCCCAGACUCCUACGGGAGGCAGCAGUGGGGAAUUUUGGACAAUGGGGGCAACCCUGAUCCAGCCAUGCCGCGUGCGGGAAGAAGGCCUUCGGGUUGUAAACCGCUUUUGUUCGGGAAGAAAUCCUCUGGGCUAAUACCCCGGGGGGAUGACGGUACCGGAAGAAUAAGCACCGGCUAACUACGUG
rnacentral:rRNA from 1 species